CUUUCGUGGAAAUCAGCCAGUAAUCUAUUGAUGCAGUUUCCAAUAUUAGCCUUCUGGAGCACAGGGUACAAAAUGAAAGAAAGACUACCAGUGUCAACUCUUUCCUAUUUCUUGAACACAGUAUAGGACAGCAACAAAUGGUAUGCAAAUUUAGCCCUGACUCAGAGACUGAAGCUGUCUGGUGGCUGAUAGCUUCUUAUCACUUGCUAACUGACUGUGCCUGCCUAGUGGGUCGAGUUUCUGUUCAAAUUGAGCCUGCAGAGAGAAAACAAUCAAAGAGGAGAGAGAAAACUAAAGGAGACGCUGGAGGCAGAGAGUCUCAGGCCUUCAGCAGCCCUAUGAUGACCUUGAGAGAACAGAGGCAGAUGCAAGGAAGGUUCUUUACCAACUGAGCUACCAGGGAAGCCUUCAGUCCUUGUAAGGACAAAUACAAAUUAAAAAGAAAGUACUGCAAGAAACUAGUACCCUUAACUUCAAAUUUCAGUGGGAGAAUAACUGGUUUCCAGAGUAAUGACCAUCUUCUGCUGCUGCUGCUGCUAAGUCGCUUCAGUUGCAUCCGACUCUGUGUGACCUCAGAGACGGCAGCCCACCAGGCUCCCCCAUCCCUGGGAUUCUCCAGGAAAGAGAAUACUCUGGUCUGACUUACUCAACAUAGAUCACCCUAAUUGGUGCCUGGCAUGGAGUAUAAAGGACAGGAGAAACAGAAGAUUAAUGUAGUGACCCAAUAUACAGUGAUGGGGUUCUGAAGAAGAUGUUCACGCAGUUACACCGCAGGCUCCUUUUGAGAUGUGCCAGUAGAAAAUUUGAAAACUUCAAUGAUUAGUUUGUAAACAAAUUGCAAGUCAUUUGUGGAUUUGGUCACUUAGGAACUGCAUUGAAAUAAUGAUUUAUAUCAGCUGUGAUAAGGGCAUUGAUGCUAAGUAG
ensembl:lncRNA